CGAAAUGCGUUGCAGAGGAAUAGUAGACCUUCCAAGUGCUUGCAGAGAGCUGUCGCUCGGUGAAAGACAGUGGCACGAGAUGGACGAACUCGCCUUGAAGCAGCCCGCUGAACGUUCGUGAAGAAACGGGGCAAGUAAGCAGGGACGGAGCCUGACCGUUAGCGCAGGAGGACUUGAUGGAGUCCGCAGAGGCAUCAAUCGAUGCGAAUUUGAGUGGUACCACGCAGAAGACCCUGCGUCUCAUGG
rnacentral:ncRNA from 1 species